AUGCACCAACCAGGUUUAGGUUGUUUAGAACAACAAGGUGUGGGGGUCAAGAAGGACGGUGAUGUCUGCAGGUACAAUCCCAAGAAGACUGACGCUGUCAUCGAGGAAUUGAAGAAAAAUACCCAGGCAGCUAAUGACGAGAGGGAGGAGCUCGUAAAGGCAAUCAAAAAUCUUGAGGCAAAGCAAACCAACCCUUGGUUUAACUCUACAAUAAAAGGACGUCUACUGGACUGGCCAGGCCUGAUCGCGCUGACGCUGGCGGCUGGAGAGAUGGAUGAUGAUGUGCGGUGGGUGCUCGCAAUCCCAGAAGUGAAGUUUUCCUAUCCUGUGCAUUUGCGGUUUUUGUUGAAUGAUCGCAUUUGCUGCUGCUUGCUGCUGCUGUUUUGUUUCCGUAUGCAUGCACCGGUGAGAGUUCUAGGCUUUGCUGCUUGGUGUCGCCUGCGAGAGGAAAAUCGAGUUUGGGAGGCCACCGUGGUAGGCGGUGCGUGUGGGGUGUUGGGCACCGCUUCCAGAGGAGGAGGCUUCCCUGCCCUGGGGUCGACGUUUUUUUGCUCGAGCUGCGCUUCAACUUCGGCCUUGCCAGUUCUCGAGCGCGGUGCGUUCCUUCUCUUCAGUGGGACGCAAGCCGGAGAUAAGGCGCUCGGGGACCGUGGUCAGGGCAAUCGGUGGCCGUCGGUGCUGGGCCUGGGCGGCACGGCACGGCACCUGGUGGGAGGCUGUGCGGCGGCUAGAGGGCCGGCCGGGCGCGCGCCAACUGCGGCAGGAGAAGGGGCAUGCCGGUGGCGGGCGUGGCCAUGGCCGGCAUCGGCUGCAACCUGGCGGGGGCACUACAAUCUACGAUCUUGGCUUUGGCGACUUGGUCAGGUGAGAUGGGCCAGCGCAGAGAAUGGUGAUUUCUUUGGCGUGAACUGCUUCUUUAUUUUAGGCUUUGUUCUUGCCUUCUUGGGGUUAAUUAUCAUCUUUCUUCCCGUGAAUUUGAGUCCAGAUGGAGGCAUCAUGGAUUGCGUGCACAUAUCACAACAACCUGCCUUCGAUCAUCGUCCCCUCAAGAAACAUACUCUCCAGAUGAGACAGUCCUACCACCCGGAAGGCUUGUAUGAUGAUGCUAAGAGCAGCCUGGCCUCCGACAAUGACGGAAAGAAGCCACCAUUGUUUGGGAGCCUAAAAUCGAGCAGCCUAUCAAGUGCAAUCUAUCCCAGCUAUGGAGGUCAUGUGGUGCGGAUCUCAACAACAUCAAGGCCGAAUGGCAGUUAUUCUGCGGAUACCAGUGGAGAGAAUCUUCUCACCGAUUUGGACCGGCCCUCGAAGCUCAGCGUUGGUUACUUUGGGGCUGAUCAGCUGAGAAGACGGCAGUCAUUACAAGGAUGUGUGGUGCAGAUGAUACACAUUGUGGCUACUUCAGGCUACAAUGGAACGCAAAAAGCACCUGGCGGGCCAGCUUGCAUAUCUGAACAUGGCAACAAAGAGGGCCAUCGUGCCUCACCGCCGCUUGCCCCUGUCAUUGACUUGCGGGCCCGGGAAAUAAGAAAAGUGACCAUCAGAAAAGUUCUCACGACAGUUGCCGAAGGAACUAUGCACGAUGGAGGAUUUAAUGGUGAUGUCCAGGAUCUGAAUUUUACUGAUUCAUUAGAAAUGCAAAAAUGGAUUGAAAAAUACCCCCGCCCCCUCUCGAGAGGCCAUUCAAUUCUGAACGAACCAGCAGCGCCGCUGUUUGACAUUUCCCAUGACCAUGAGCUAGGUGGAUUAAUGGCGGCCAUAUGCACACCCAAUGGACUCCCAGCACCCUUCGGUUCUCGCGCUCCAAUCUCCAACGACGCUUGCGUCGUGGUGCAUGCCGCCCUUCACACUUAA
rnacentral:rRNA from 1 species